AUUCUACUCCCUCCGUUGCACAAUACAUGCCUUCUAUUUGUCAAAAUAUACAUGUAUCUAGACAUGUCUUAGUAUAUAGGUACAUCCAUUUUUGGACAAAUGGAAGUCAAGUAUUUUGGAACGGAGGGAGUACACA
rfam:Triticum urartu cultivar G1812 contig1086274, whole genome shotgun sequence.